CUUCAAUGUGAGCAGGCGGUUUGGCUAUGUUGCCUUUCAAAACUAUGUCCCUUCUUCCGUGACCACGAUGCUCUCCUGGGUUUCCUUUUGGAUCAAGACAGAGUCUGCUCCAGCCCGGACCUCUCUAGGGAUCACCUCUGUUCUGACCAUGACCACGUUGGGCACCUUUUCUCGUAAGAAUUUCCCGCGUGUCUCCUAUAUCACAGCCUUGGAUUUCUAUAUCGCCAUCUGCUUCGUCUUCUGCUUCUGCGCUCUGUUGGAGUUUGCUGUGCUCAACUUCCUGAUCUACAACCAGACAAAAGCCCAUGCUUCUCCGAAACUCCGCCAUGUAUGAGCUGGGUCUGGGAGUGGUGGCAAGGCUUUGGAGUGUGGAGACAUGCUAGCAAGGGUACUGGGGUUAUGGCACAUGGGUGGUCAGCUUGCUGAGUGAUGGAAUGUUACCCAGGGUGGUGGGGGGGUUGAAUCAACUUCCGGAUGUAAUGGUGAGAAGUUGGAGGAGAGAAGCCAAGAUAUGGUGUGCCAAAGACAGUUUCCAGAAAAUCCGGAGGCGGCACUUAGACUUGGGUUAUCUUCCCUUGACUUUUCCCCACUU
rnacentral:sRNA from 1 species